AUACCUUUCUCGGCCUUUUGGCUAAGAUCAAGUGUAGUAUUUAUUCAUAUCAGUUUAAUAUCUGCUAUGUGGACCAAUGAUCCAAAUGAUAUUAAAUUUAUUUCUUGAGGGGGAGAGUCCACCACAAUAACUUGCUAUUGCGUCUCAUGUGUCGCCUUUGUGUUGUACACUUGUACUAUUGCAUUGGCCUGACACACCCCAA
rnacentral:snRNA from 1 species